rnacentral:rRNA from 1 species
AUGACGACGUACAGGGUGUGCUGCUUCCUGCGGCGGUUCCGGCCGGCGUCCAACGAGCCGUCGGAGGCCAUCGGCGACGUGUUCGAGGCGUACGCCGGCGCCGACGGCGGCAGCGGCGCGCUCGGGGAGGAGGCGCUCAGGAGGUUCCUCCGGGAGGUGCAGGGGGAGGCCGGCGACGACGACGUCGAGGCGGCGGCGAGGGAGGUCCUGGCCUUCGCGGCGGAGCACCGGCUGCUCAAGAAGGGCGGCGGGCUCACCGUCGAGGGCUUCCACCGGUGGCUCUGCAGCGACGCCAACGCCGCCCUCAAUCCUCGCCGUGGGGUUCACGAUGACAUGGGGCUGCCGCUGUCGCACUACUUCAUCUACACGGGCCACAACUCGUACCUGACCGGGAACCAGCUGAGCAGCGGGUGCAGCGAGGCGCCCAUCGCCAAGGCCCUCCGCGACGGCGUCAGGGUCAUCGAGCUCGACCUCUGGCCCAACGCCGCCAAGGACGACGUCGAGGUCCUCCACGGCAGGACAUGGACGUCGCCGGUGGACCUAAUGAAAUGCCUGGAGACCGUCAAGGAGCACGCCUUCGUCUCCUCCCCAUACCCCGUUAUCCUCACCCUCGAAGAUCACCUCACUCCGCAUCUUCAAGCCAAAGUAGCAAAGAUGAUCAAGGAGACAUUUGGGGACUUGCUCCACCUCUCGGAGUCCGAGGCAAUGCCCGUAUUCCCUUCCCCCGAGGACCUCAGGGGCAAGAUCAUCAUAUCAACCAAACCGCCAAAAGAGUACCUUGAAACCAAGAGUAGCAAGGAGGAGGCCCAAAAUGGUAGCGCGGAGGAGAGUGUGUGGGGGGACGAGAUUCCCGACAACAAGGCUCAGGUUGCUACUGCUCGCCAGGUUUCAGAGAAGGACAACUACCGGUAUGUGGAAGAGGAUGAAGAGAUGGAGAAGAAGGUACAACUGGGGGUUAACGGGGAGUAUAAAAGUCUCAUCUCAAUCAGCCUCACCCGGAGAAAGCACGACAUGGAUCAGGAUCUCAAGGUUGAUCCCGAGAAAGUGUCUCGGAUGAGCUUGGGGGAGGCGGCAUACGAGAAGGCCACCAUUACUCAUGGAUCUGAAAUUAUAAAGUUUACACAGAGGAACUUGCUACGGAUUUUCCCAAAGACAACGCGCAUUACUUCAUCCAAUUACAAUCCACUGAUGGGAUGGAGAUAUGGAGCUCAGAUGGUUGCAGCAAACAUGCAGGGCCAUGGAAGGAAACUAUGGCUGACUCAAGGGAUGUUCCGGGCAAAUGGCGGUUGUGGUUAUGUGAAAAAGCCUGAUUUUCUUAUGAACACGGAUAAAAUGUUUGACCCUAGAUCCAAACUACCAGUGAAGACAAGGCUCAAGGUGACUGUCUACAUGGGAGACGGAUGGCGAUUCGACUUCCGCAAGACGCAUUUCGACAAGUGCUCGCCACCAGACUUUUAUGCAAGGGUGGGUAUAGCAGGAGUGGUUGCAGACACAAUGAUGAAGGAGACCAAGGUGAUCAUGGACAACUGGAUACCGACGUGGGACCACGAGUUCGAGUUCCCGCUGUCCGUGCCAGAGCUCGCGUUGCUGCGCGUCGAGGUGCACGAGUCCGACAACCACCAGAAGGACGACUUCGCCGGCCAGACCUGCCUGCCGGUGUGGGAGCUCCGGUCUGGGAUACGCUCCGUCAGGCUCUACGCCCGCGACGGCGAGGCGCUGCGCUCGGUAAAGCUGCUUAUGCGCUUCGAGUUUUCAUAG